CACUCCUCUAUUACUUGUAGAGUAAAAAUCACAAAGUAUGGUAGAGGAGUUAGAACGGAUGCUUAUAUCGAAUUAGGUUAUCUUACCAACCCAUUGCUUUUUUCUGUAGCUUUGGCGUCAAAUGAAUCGACCUAUAUUG